AUGUUAACUAAUGUUGUAAGGCCUUAACAAGAAAUGUUGUGGGGGUUCAGGAAAGGGGAAGGUGGGGUCGUCCAAAGGCUGGGAAAGUCUUCAGUUGAAGGCGAGGCAGAUGGGACUAUUAGUGAGUUUCAAGAGGACCAACGCCUUGCCGGCUGCGCGGGGCGUGCCCCACCGCCUUGGCCUCAUUUUUGCCCUGCGCCCCACACUUGAACGCGCGGCGCCUUUUGACCCCGCCGCCGCGCCGUAGACCGCGCUGCACGCCGGCUACCGCCAUGGCGGAGGUGUCGGAGAGGACGCUGCAGUUGUCCGUGCUAGUAGCCUUCGCAUCUGGAGUACUCUUGGGCUGGCAGGCGAACCGACUGCGGAGGCGCUACUUGGACUGGAGGAAACGGAGGCUGCAGGACAAGCUGGCGGCGACGCAGAAGAAGCUGGACCUGGCCUGAGACUCCGCGCCUUCCGCCCUAUUCGAUCCACCACAUGGCCACCUUGCCCUGUCCUCACCGGAGCUCCGGUCCGGCGGUGGCCAGAGCCAGGCUUGUCACACAGUCCCCGCCUGCCAUGGCCGGCUCGUCCUGGAGUGUUGCUUGUUGAAGAUGCAUAUAGACUACUGGAAAGAAACGACUUCUUGCACUUUAUGAAUCAAUUUUAUUUUUAAAAUAAAAAAAUUAAACAUC